rnacentral:lncRNA from 1 species
AGCAAACCAUUGAAGGUGCUAAAGUUAAUCUUUCUCCAUCAAUCCUCAGCUCUGGAAGUUGGUAAAGCAUUCAAGACAUCCUUCUACACCAACGACCUCACUAUUGCCUCUCACUAUUUGUAUUUAUACUUUUAUUGUUGAGCAAUAGUCUGUGCUUUAAACUUCAAAUAUCUUUUGUACAAGUUUUAGUAGGGUCUGAAACUUGGGGAAGGUCUUGUCCAAACCUUAAUUGGACGGUGUAUAAGUUUUGGUUGGUAAGCUCGUAAAACCAACUGGAUUGAUUAUGAGCUCGGAAAACAAACGGUUAGGUUGUAGUUGGUCAGCCCGUAAAACCAACUGGGUUCGUUGUGAUCCAAUGAAAACAACAAGUUGGUUGUGAGCUUGAAAAACAACCGGACUGUAAUCGGGGUAAUUAUGGUAAAAUUCUCAAGAGGUCUUGGAAAGUGGACGAAGGUGCAAGGUUGGUACCGAACCACUAUAAAAUUCUUCUUAUUUGUGAUUGCUUUACUUUUCCUCGCUGCAAUUGUUGUUUCUC